rnacentral:pre_miRNA from 1 species
GUGAUCAAGAUGGAGAAGCAGGGCACGUGCAUUACUAACUCAUGCACAGGAAUUGUCAGUGAAAAUUUUUAUGGCAUUCAUCUGACAUCAUAAUUCAUAGUACCAUUACUGUACUUCCUAGCGUAGUGGAAAAUAAUGGUUUGGUACUUCACAUGUAUGUGUUUCCGUUUCCGUUGAGUUAGUUCUUCAUGUGCCUGUCUUCCCCAUCAUGAUCACUC